UACGAAGGGUGCAAGCGUUACUCGGAAUUACUGGGCGUAAAGCGUGCGUAGGUGGUUUGUUAAGUCUGUUGUGAAAGCCCCGGGCUCAACCUGGGAAUGGCAAUGGAUACUGGCAAGCUAGAGUGCGGGAGAGGAAAGUGGAAUUCCUGGUGUAGCGGUGAAAUGCGUAGAUAUCAGGAGGAACACCGGUGGUGUAAACGGCUUUCUGGACCGUAACUGACGCUGAUGCACGAAAGCGUGGGUAGCAAACAGG
rnacentral:rRNA from 1 species